GACGAACGCUGGUGGCGUGCCUAAUACAUGCAAGUAGAACGCUGAAGGAGGAGCUUGCUCUUCUGGAUGAGUUGCGAACGGGUGAGUAACGCGUAGGUAACCUGCCUGGUAGCGGGGGAUAACUAUUGGAAACGAUAGCUAAUACCGCAUAACAGUAGAUGUUGCAUGACAUUUACUUAAAAGGUGCAAUUGCAUCACUACCAGAUGGACCUGCGUUGUAUUAGCUAGUUGGUGGGGUAACGGCUCACCAAGGCGACGAUACAUAGCCGACCUGAGAGGGUGAUCGGCCACACUGGGACUGAGACACGGCCCAGACUCCUACGGGAGGCAGCAGUAGGGAAUCUUCGGCAAUGGACGGAAGUCUGACCGAGCAACGCCGCGUGAGUGAAGAAGGUUUUCGGAUCGUAAAGCUCUGUUGUAAGAGAAGAACGAGUGUGAGAGUGGAAAGUUCACACUGUGACGGUAUCUUACCAGAAAGGGACGGCUAACUACGU
rnacentral:rRNA from 1 species